rnacentral:rRNA from 1 species
UUCGUCCGCCCUGGGUUAGUCGGGACCUAAGCCGAGGCCGAAAGGCGUAGGUGAUGGACAACAGGUUGAUAUUCCUGUACCGCCAAUAAGCGUUUGAGAGAUGGAGUGACACAGUAGGAUAAGCUAACCGUACUGUUGGUUAUGUACGGCUAAGCAUUGAGGCAGUCUAAAUAGGCAAAUCCGUUUAGACAAUGCUAGGAUGUGAUGGGGAAGCCCUUCGGGGCGAAGUAGCUGAUUUCACACUGUCAAGAAAAGCUUCUAUCGAGUUUAAAGGCGCCCGUACCGUAAACCGACACAGGUGGGUGAGGAGAGUAUCCUAAGGCCAGCGAGAGAACUAUUGUUAAGGAACUCGGCAAAAUGACCCCGUAACUUAGGGAGAAGGGGUGCCUGUCUAUGACAGGCCGCAGAGAAUAGGCCCAAGCGACUGUUUACCAAAAACACAGGUUUCUGCUAAGUCGCAAGACGAUGUAUAGGAGCUGACGCCUGCCCGGUGCUGGAAGGUUAAGGGGAUCUGUUAGAGCAAUCGAAGCAGUGAACUUAAGCCCCAGUAAACGGCGGCCGUAACUAUAACGGUCCUAAGGUAGCGAAAUUCCUUGUCGGGUAAGUUCCGACCCGCACGAAAGGCGUAACGAUUUGGGCACUGUCUCAACAAUAGACUCGGUGAAAUUGUAAUCCCGGUGAAGAUGCCGGGUACCUGCGACAGGACGGAAAGACCCCAUGGAGCUUUACUGUAGCUUGACGUUGGGUCUUGGUACUACAUGUACAGGAUAGGUGGGAGACUAUGAAGCAUGGACGCCAGUCUGUGUGGAGUCAUCCUUGGGAUACCACCCUUGUAGUACUGGGAUCCUAACCAUAGGCCUUGAAUCAGGUCUUGGAACACCGUCAGGUGGGCAGUUUGACUGGGGCGGUCGCCUCCUAAAAAGUAACGGAGGCGCUCAAAGGUUUCCUCAGCACGGUCGGAAAUCGUGCGAAGAGUGUAAAGGCAAAAGGAAGCUUGAUUGCAAGACAUACAGGUCGAGCAAGGACGAAAGUCGGACUUAGUGAUCCGGUGGUACCGCAUGGAAGGGCCAUCGCUCAACGGAUAAAAGCUACCCUGGGGAUAACAGGCUUAUCUCCCCCAAGAGUCCACAUCGACGGGGAGGUUUGGCACCUCGAUGUCGGCUCAUCACAUCCUGGGGCUGUAGUAGGUCCCAAGGGUUGGGCUGUUCGCCCAUUAAAGUGGUACGCGAGCUGGGUUCAGAACGUCGUGAGACAGUUCGGUCCCUAUCCGUCGCAGGCGUAGGAAAUUUGAGAAGACCUGUCCUUAGUACGAGAGGACCGGGAUGGACGUACCUCUGGUGUACCAGUUGUUCUGCCAAGGGCAUGGCUGGGUAGCUAUGUACGGAAUGGAUAAGCGCUGAAAGCAUCUAAGCGCGAAGCCAACUUCAAGAUAAGAUUUCCCACCGUAAGGGUAAGACCCCAGGAAGACUACCUGGUUGA